CUUCUGGCAUUAAGACUGCACCAGGGUCUCCGGAGCUGGGACACACCCAGGGCAGUGAGAGAUGUGUGAUGUGGAAAUGAAAUCCCCCCACAAUCCCAUCUCCAGAGAUGACCACACCUAGUCCCACCACGGAGAGAUGCUGCUCCAGCUUCCUCUUGUCCCGCUGAGAAUCUGGCAGCCUCCAGAAGAUGUAAUAGAGACCUGAGGACAUUUGGAAGAUGC